CAAAAACAUAGCCCUACGACACUCUUGUAAGGUGAAGCCUGCCCAAUGACUGCCAAUAAUCUAAUAAAAAUCAGUUCAAUGGCCGCGGUAACUCUGACCGUGAUAAAGUAGCAUAAUCACUUGUCACUUAAUUGGUGACUGGAAUGAAUGGCUAAACGAAUCCUCCUCUGUCUCUGAAGAAAUCCUGGCAAAUUUGAAAUAGCAGUGAAGAUGCUGCUAAAUAAUUGUAAGACGAAAAGACCCUAUCGAGCUUUACUGGAAUCUUGCAAAGUAACAUAGUUAUUAAGGACAAAAUUAUACAAAUUGCAAGCCCGACAGUUUGGUUGGGGCGACCACCCCUAAAAACGUAUCAGGGGAACUCUAAAGGCUGUCAUAAUAUGAAAAACCGCCUUACUGGAGACAAACAAGUCAAUCAGUUAUAAUUUAUAGGACAUAUUGACCCGUUAUUUAGCUUCACAACAAAUAACGACUAUGAAAAAAGUUACCGUAGGGAUAACAGGGUAAUAUUU
rnacentral:rRNA from 1 species